GCUCCAGCAAAGGCGGCUUCCUGCAGCCCCCGCUCGGAGCAGACACCGCCCGCCCGCUGCCCUCAGAGCCCUCUUCUCCUGCCCGCCCAUCUCCGCAGCCGUGGCAAACACACGCAACAGGAGGCAGGAGAGCAACAAGAUCCCGCUCGCUGCUGCUCCCGGCUCCCAGCCCACAGCUCAUCCCCAGGGCCCGACCUUGUCCGUGCGUGUCCCGCAGCUCCUGCGAUGGGACAAGUCCAGCACAGCCCCGGCUCUUUAUGCAGCCCUGGCUCUCCGGUGGGUGCGGCUUCACCCAUUUCAGAGACAAAAGGUUAAUUCUGGGAAAUCAGGCAAUUUACUGCAGCAGAAAGUGAAACUAUUUUUUAGUGUAUAUUAAUUGACUAGCAGUUGUUCAGAACUUGACCUCUGGCAUCCAACUGCAAGUUUCCACUCAGAAAUAGCAGUGCCUGGCUGCAGCUUUCUUGGCAGGGAACAUCCCACACCUGACAGUAACAGAGCUCUGGGGUUUGGCAGAGGACAUUCAACACCCAACCAGAGCAGGGUUCCUGGAUUGCUUUUCCCUUGGGAUGUGGACACAAUAAUCCUGCUCUAUGACCUCCAAACAGGCACUGGAGUUUGGAUAUGGAGACCUCCAGCCUGCCAGGACCAGCCACCCCCUGCUCCAGGCUGACAAGUCACAAGUGCUGGAGCAGACACAGGUGGCAUUUGUCCGGCCUCAGGGGGAGCCUCAGCCCCUGCCAGGCAGGGCUGGGACACAUCAGCUGCAGAGCAUGGAUUUGGUCCCCCCCUGCCCAGGUUAGCUUAGCCUGGCUCCAGAGGGAUAUUUCCUACACCCAGAGAAUUCCCUGCUGCAGGAGUGUUUCAGGCACAGAAUCUCAGGACCACUGAGACAAAAAGAGUAAGUUUGUCUUACAGAUGUUCACAGCAUGGCUCAGAAGUCACAAAUGACGAGGGCAAUAAUCCCUCAGCACGGGAAUUCCAUGCACUCCCUGGAGGAGCAAGGCCUGAGGGCCAAAAUGAGUUAAAAUCAUCUCCAGAGACUUACCUCCCACCGAGUCUCCCAGGAGGUUGCGGUGAGAAGAAAGUCCCCCCCACCGUGCUCUGUUUCUUCAUGAAAAUAGCCUGUACCCGGUUGGUCUCUUUCCCUUGUUCUGGUUCCUGAGCUCUCAGAUUAUUUGCCCUGUUGCUCUACCCCUCCCCCUGCCUAUCCCAUAUAAAUCCCUGUUUCUGCGCAGCCCGGGGGAGGUGUUCACCUUUCACAAAGUUGCCUCUUAUAAUAAAGGCUUUGUUUUCUGUGGAACCCUGUCGGAGGCUCCUGUCCUUUAUCCCUGCGCCGCCCGAACCGUGACUUCACAGGAGAGCGAGAAAUGCCUAGAGCUGAAGUCACUCGCCGCUAAGGGACGUGCCUGUGCCCCUUGGGACAUCCCCUGCUGGACGCCUCUCCAGGAAGGUGGCGGCAGCCCGGGAAGAAGAGCAGCGGAGCCCCGGAGGGCGGCAAGUGGCCCCCGAAGGCCUCGGGCUUGUAGCCAGGGAGUCCCUGGAGAAGCGUCUGCUGCAGUGGCUGCAGGACUCAGCCGCCUUUGGGACGCUGCUUGUGCCAGGAGAGCCCUGUGCGUUUUAGCAGAGGCGAUGUGAGGAGAGCCCGGGAGCCUCGGCUGCCGUGGGAGAGCAGAAGAGGAGCUCUGAGGAGCGGCCGAUGGGGCUGAGCACCUGCCAGCAGAUUUCCUCUGAGCCUGCGGGCCCCACCCUGCCUGAAGAAAGAUUGUGUGUCCUGAAACGAGACACAAACCAUUUCCAGUACGCCUGCAUGGAUGAAUCAGGAAGAAUGUUCCAAGUGGAAACAGGAGGUCCUGCAUCACGGUAUCUCAGGAUGCAGACUUCCAGAUUGGCUCUGUUGCCCCUGAAGUCUGGGAAUUUGCCCUGCAUGUCCUCAGCAAUGUCUUUAGCCGUCCUCUCAAAGACUGCCUUGCGAAGAGCUGGUUCAAUCUUGUCACAAAGGAAAACAGCAAAAGUUGUGAUUGAAGUGGCUCCUUGGCAGGAAAUCUGGAAACAUUGGAAGAAAUCUUCUCUCUUGCUGCUCAGGACUGAUGCUGCUGCAAUGGCUUAUGAGCAAGAUUUCUUCUCCAUCCCCUUCCCAUCUGGGACACCAUUGCCAUUCACCCCAGCACCCUGCAGCUGCAUGGGAUUGUCACACCUGCCCUGUCCACAGGAAUCUGCCUGCACUCUCUGCCAGUGAUGAUGGUAACUGCACAACAGGGGAAAAGUGUCUGUGGCUGAGAAGGUUGGGAACUCGGUCAUUAUUCUGUUUCUCAUUAAUUCCAUAGUUGCUGUUGUUUUGUUUGUCUUGUUAGAUAUGCUAGUAAAGAUUUGUUAAUCCUAUCCCCCUGUCUUUCCCUGAGAGCAUCUUAAUUUCAAAAUUAUACUAAUUCAGAGGGAGGAAUGUAUUGUCUCCAUUUCAAGGGAAGGCCCUGUUUUUCCUUAGGGGACUCCUGCCUUUUAAACCGGGACAUACAUGGGGCCUGAGGGCAUUGAAGGGAAUGAGUGAAAAAGGAGUAACAGUUCUUAAGCGACCUAAGUUUUUGUGUUAGGUGGCACCAUGUGGCUAGCUUACCCUGGUUUGAGUUGCACCUGGUCACAGCUAUAUCUCUUCCAUUUGCAGGCCCUUGUCUAAACAUGGGUCCUAUAACUAAGGCUACUGUGGCUGUUAUCCAGUUCAUUUUGGGGGUUGAUAAGGUGAGGAAUUAAUGAAUUUUUUGCUUCCUCUGGAAGGCGGGUUCAUGGAUUCAGAGCUAUCACACACUAACUGUAUUUUUUUGAGGUUACUUCAAUAAUGGUACUUUCUGUGAGGAAGUGACAGCAGCAG